GCGGCUGUCGUAUAGUGGCUAUUAUGGCUGCCUUCCAAGCAGCAGAUGCGGGUUCGACUCCCGCCAGCCGCACAA
rnacentral:tRNA from 1 species